GACGAACGCUGGCGGCGUGCUUAACACAUGCAAGUCGAACGGAAAGGCCCUGCUUUUGUGGGGUGCUCGAGUGGCGAACGGGUGAGUAACACGUGAGUAACCUGCCCUUGACUUUGGGAUAACUUCAGGAAACUGGGGCUAAUACCGGAUAGGAGCUCCUGCUGCAUGGUGGGGGUUGGAAAGUUUCGGCGGUUGGGGAUGGACUCGCGGCUUAUCAGCUUGUUGGUGGGGUAGCAGCUUACCACGGCUUUGACGGGUAGCCGGCCUGAGAGGGUGACCGGCCACAUUGGGACUGAGAUACGGCCCAGACUCCUACGGGAGGCAGCAGUGGGGAAUAUUGCACAAUGGGCGGAAGCCUGAUGCAGCAACGCCGCGUGCGGGAUGACGGCCUUCGGGUUGUAAACCGCUUUCGCCUGUGACGAAGCGUGAGUGACGGUAAUGGGUAAAGAAGCACCGGCUAACUACGUG
rnacentral:rRNA from 1 species